rnacentral:tRNA from 1 species
UCAUCGGUAAGGUUGGGAAUUAGCUUCCGAAGCCGAGGGUCGCAGGUUCAAAUCCUGCCGGGCGCGCCA